rnacentral:lncRNA from 1 species
UAAACUAUUUUAAUUGCGCUUAAGCCAGUUUAAGUCGGACGGUUCUGCCACACUUUGUGUCACUCUGAUAUGUAAUAAAUACUUUAAUACUCUUUCAUUAUGACAUGGUUGUGGUGAUUCACUUAUGAAGUCCAUUAUAUGUGUGAAACUUUGAUCCUGGCAUACAUAUGAGAUGCAUCCGGUUUUCCCUCUAAAAUCGGGCAUGACAAAAGUGGUACCAGAUCUAUGAUGACUGUAGGACAUGAGCCUAGUUAGCAACGGUCUUUUUUCAAGGAUUAGUAUGCUUAUUCUACCUUGUUCUAAUUAUCCUUGCUCUUGUUUUGUUAUAUAUUCUUGCUCAUUUUGAUUAUUUACCUCCUCCUUAUUGUUAUUUCUACUCAGUUAACUUCGUCAUUGUUUAUGCUCUACUCAUGCUAUCUUAUCUUGCCUUAAUGUCUUUAUAGUUGUUCUAACCUUCCACUUUCUC